GCCAGCUACAGCAUUACAGUGGUUUUGCUCUGGCUAACUGCACCUUUGCAAAUUUACCCCAUAAGAGCCUAAUCCGUCACAGGGGAUGCCCCUGGGAGGGCCCCAACUAUGGAACUUUGCUUACUAAAAAUUUCCACCCGACGCGGGAGCCUGCCCAUAGAUUCUGCGAAGGCCAGUUUGUUCCAAUAGCUCCUGUACAGCUCCAGCAAUCCGGGUGGUCUCCAUCCUCCACAAGACCACAGGAGGAAGCGGGAGCAGGUGUCCUCCUGGCCACUAGCAGAGAUGGACGUCUGGACAGGAUGAGAUUCCGGCAGAAGUUUCGUUGUGCUUUUUAAUUCAUAACAGGUGGAGGCCUUGUGACCGUCUGCACUUGGCAAUGGUGGUGCAGACGGGCGUCCUGAGCGCUUGGUGCCUCCUUGGACUGGCCCUGGUGGUGACCUCCGCAGGAGACGCCUUCUAUUACAGCACUUUCCCGAAAGGGUUCCUUUGGGGCGUGGGCAGUUCAUGCCAAGCGGAAGAUUAGCAGCAGGGACAAAGAGGCGGGAAAGGCCCGAGCAUCUGGGACUCUUUCGGGCGCCAGGGAGGAAAGGUAUUCAUGAACCACACAGCAGACUCAGCGUGUGAAAGCUACUAUAAGG